GGUUAAGCGACUAAGCGUACACGGUGGAUGCCCUGGCAGUCAGAGGCGAUGAAGGGCGUGCUAAUCUGCGAUAAGCGCCGGUAAGGUGAUAUGAACCGUUAUAACCGGCGAUACCCGAAUGGGGAAACCCAGUGUGAUUCGUCACACUAUCAUUAACUGAAUCCAUAGGUUAAUGAGGCGAACCGGGGGAACUGAAACAUCUAAGUACCCCGAGGAAAAGAAAUCAACCGAGAUUCCCCCAGUAGCGGCGAGCGAACGGGGAGGAGCCCAGAGCCUGAAUCAGCAUGUGUGUUAGUGGAAGCGUCUGGAAAG
rnacentral:rRNA from 1 species